CCCCUUUUCUCCAGUCCCCACGCCCGCGCGAGCGCUACCUCUCACCGCCUGCGCCGCCGCCUUCUCCCCCCAAGCUUCGGCUCCACCAAGGUAGCCCGGCCGAUUCUCGCAGCCCACUGAAAGCCGGCACGCCGACGGCCUUCGUCCUCUCGCGCCGGCGCGUCGCCGCGAUCCCCGCCGGCACGGGCGCCUAUUCCCCCCUUGCUCCUGCUCCCCGCUCGCGCCGCCGUUGCCGCGCGCCUCCAUGAACUUCUCCGACGACUGGCGCUUCCUCUUCCCCGUCUCCUCCGUGUUCAACCCGCCGUCCCUCGCCCCGCCGGACGCCUCCCACGGGCCCCUCUUCUUCACCCCUCUCCCGCCGCCCGCCCCGCUCCUCUCCCUCCCCUUCCCCUUCCCUCCGCCCCUGCACGCCUCCACCACCGGUGACCUCCGCCACGCCCUCCGCUACAUCGUCGGCUCCACCUCCUUCCUCCCCUACUCCGAUCUCAAGUCCCUCUCGGGACCCCUCCUCGCCGCGCCGUCGCCGCCGUUCCCACCGCCUUCCAAUCUUCUCGCCGUCGUCCCCUCCCGCUCCUCAAGCUCUCUCGUCCUCUUUUUCCCGUACGGCGAAAAUGCGGAGAAGAUUGCUUUCGCUCUUGUGAACUCGCCCGUUGCGAGCUCUGCGCCAGUUUCGCCCUUCGUUCAGAGUGAUGGGUUCAAGCACCCUGGGCACCGCAUACAGCAGCUUGCUGCUAUUCCUGCCCAGUCGUCCUGGUCAUCGGAGCCGGAUGACAGCUGUGUCGAGGGUUUCCUGCUUGCUGCGACAUUGUACUCAGUGAAUUGGUUCAGGGUCGAGUCACGCGAUUCGGGUUCCCCGGUGCUUGUACCGGUGGCCAAGCAGGGGUUUGAUGCUGCUGUCGUGCACGCGUGCUGGAGCAGGCAUUUUCCAUCACAAUGUGCGGUGCUGCUGGAGAAUGGGGAGUUGUGUUGGUUUGAUCUGAAUACACGACUUGGAGGAAAGACGAGCGUUGGUUUUGGCGGCAAUGGUGAAGACUGGGGGGACUGGCUAAGCUGUGCGUAUGGAGCGCAACCGUGGAUGGUGAUAGUCGCAAGCACAAAAGCCGUCCUUUUGGUUGAUUUGAGCUUUGUAGAUCAUGGUGACAAAUACGUCGUGGAAAACGAGCCACACAAGUUUCAGUACAAGGUUCUAGCAAAAGUUGGGUUGCCAGGGUUAUUUGAAACUGAGCCUUUUGACAGGACUGAGCAUUAUAUUGCAUUCUGCAAGGCUGGGUUCGAUGAUUCCCAUAUAUCAGUAGUGACAGAGCGUCACUUGAUUCUCCUUGAUGUGACAAAGCCGUUGGAACCUGUGUUGGCUUGGCAGCAUGGGCUUGAGAACCCAAAUCAUGUUGCCAUGUUUCGGCUAUCUGAAUUGAGACCUUCCAAGGAAUAUGAAUGGGCUUCAAAUUCAGGUUUUGCCAUUUUGGUUGGUUCGUUCCAGAAUGGGGAGUUCAGUUUGUUCUGUUACGGGCCUAAGGAGCAAGGUUGUCCAGAUAAUUCUCAUUUAUACGCUUGGGAUAUUCCUUCGAGGCUUUCUCUGACAGGUCAGUAUUGUGGCUGCAGCAAUGAAAUCAUGAAAGAGAUAUUCUCAACGCCUGUUUCAGUAUAUGAUGGGUAUGCUUCCCAACACCGCGCUAAGUCCAUUGUUGGCUACUAUGUGCUUCCAGAUGACCUCUCAAUAUCGGAGCCAACAUCUGCCAGCUUUGCCUUGAUCCGGCUAACAGCAUUGGGGAAGUUGGAAAUGCAACAGUAUCGUGCAUCUCGAGGUCUGCAUGAUGAAAUUGACACCCCAUGUGAUGAAUCAGAACAUGCAUCCAUGGAUAGUAGUUCAUCCAUUUUGAUUGACACUCAGGGUGAAAAUGUCUCCACCAAAUAUCGAUUCUUGAAGUUGCAUUUUCUAUAUGAACAUCUGAAGGGCAAUCUAUGCAGUGCGUUGGCGAAGCAUGGUACUGGUGUUAACGGAGACAGAGAUCAAAUUAUUAUUAGUGAAGACGUGUUGGCAUUUGCAGAGGAUAACUCCAGAUCCAGCUCGCUGCCAGUUUCAGAUUUCCUAUGUAAUGCUAGCAUCCCCAUGAAUGUUUUCGAAAUUGCAUGUCAGAGCAUAUUGAACAGUCUACCUUCAAAUAUUCUUCAUGUCUCCCUUUCUAAAUACAAGGACAUGCUAAAAUGCGAUACAAAAGAAGGCUUAGUAGAAUAUUUAAAAGUUCCUAGCUGUUCGCCACACAAUGAACUUCGGCCUUUCCUGUUAGCGAAACCAUCAAGCACAUGUGAGAAGGUGACUAGCAAAGCGGUAUCUCAAAAUGCUCUUGUUGGGCCAGUGCUCCCUGUGCAUGUCCUACUUGCAAUGGAAGAGAUGAACAGGGGCAUAGACAGCCCUUCGGAAAGAGAAACUGCAGAAACUGACUUAGUACGCCAUCGAUGUAGUGAGGUGCUUGAAGCCUUUGUUCCUGAAGUAUCCAUUGCUGAGUCCGACAACUUUGAUGGAUGGUUCUCCUCACAAAAGUUGAAUGACAAGAAGUCAUAUCUUGUUUACGAGCCUCGGAUUGAAAAUAAGUUUACUCUUGAUAAAACUGUUAUAAAGAAGGAAAAUGAAGAGCAAAAGGCCGCUGAUCGUACAUCUUUUGAAACGUCUGCAGCACCAUACAAGGAUGAGAACUUCAUGACAUUUGUUUGUGGAAAAGCUGGGACUCUUGAUUCUGGGCCUGAACAAACCACAUCUGAUUUGUUUGAUUUCACCCCAGUGAGGAUGGAUUUUGCUUCCACAGAUCUAGACAUUCAACCUGCCGAGGAAGAAGUGUACAGAUGCUUGAAGAAACAAUUUUUAAGAUGGCAAAAUAAUUUCAAGCCAUACCAAGAUUUUUGUAGCUCAUAUAAAAUACAAAAGCCAUCAUAAUGGCCUGCAGUGCUCCAUUCAGUUGUAGCAGGUAUUGUACAUUUCCAUGUGAUGACAUGCAAAUUUGUUGAGAAAAGGACAGACUAGUAAUAUAUACGCUCUCAGGUGCUUGGCCUGGUAUAGACAUACAGUGCUGUUUGCAUAUUUCAAACACUUCUUGGGAGUAAGAUGCGGUGGGCGGCGCUGUAAAUUAUGAAGGGCACCUAUUAUAUUGACAGGAUUUGCCACCUUGAGGUGCAUUUAACAGGAAUUUCACGCACUUGAUGUUAAGCAUUGGUGCGCCAUUUAUAGACCGUGUAGCAAGGCAGCAAGAGUCCAAGCCAUAUUGGGGCAUUACAUAGGCGACGAGGAGGGAGUGAGAUUGCAUCAAAAGUUCAACAUUUUGCUGAGUGACAACUACGAGCAUUAGCGCGUGCGUUCUUUUCUUUUCUUCUUUGUUGAGAGAAAGUGUGGCAGUUGUAACCUAACCAGAUACGUGCACUCAUAAAAAAAACUGUCUCACAAGAGUUUUUCUUCAUUUCAGUUGAGCCAAAACCUGCCAUUUGGGCAAAGUUUUUUGGCUGAAAUCUUAGUUUGCUACGGGCUGCAACGAUAGUGGCGUGUUUGCCUGUUGAGCUGUGCAGUAAAGUGUACAUAUUUUCUCUUGAGCAUGGACCAUUGUAUGUCAUGAUUCUGAAGCUCCAUGCUGAUGCAUGAAAGCAAAUCCAGUCACACGAUGGCCUCGUGAUUAAUGGUA